ACCACAUUUUGCCUUUCCUUCAAUCAAAGCGUUACUUAAAAGACAGGAGUACAUAGGUAUUUCUUACUGACGUGAAGCAAUGUCCGGACUGUGUUUCUGUUUGAAAGAAAAAAAGACAAACAAACAAAGGAGAAACAGACAUUGCUGAAGUUGUUAUUGUUUGGCCGGCAUUGUGUCUUGCCGUGAGAAACUUUUCUCGUUAUCAUUUCGGCCAUUGUCCGGAGCCCCAUGUCAUAAAUAAAGAAGGUGUCCGGCCAGGUUACGCUUUGAGGGACCCUCUGAAGAAUCGGGGACAAAUGGGGUUUGCGGUAAACAAAAGUGCAGGCCCGAUUAGGGUGAGACCGGGUGAGUCCGUUGGGUGAUAGCGGAGAAUGUGGCGGUAUGACCCGGCACGUCGGCGACACCACCGGGCCAAGGCGGGACCACCAACGACAGCAGCUACCGUCCCCCCAGCCCUGUAGAAAUGGAAGAACAACAGCCUUAAUCUACAACGUGAACACGGGACCAAGACUCCGCUGAAAUAUAAAAAAAGAUGCCCACCUGCCGCAUGCAGCCACACGGCAUGGAGUCCCCAAACCAAAGUCAUGUGGGCCGGCUACGUGCUCUGCUCUACACACACAAGUUAACAAAAUCACACACAGAGAGAUGGAUGAAGGGAUGGAUGAU